rnacentral:lncRNA from 1 species
UUUUUUUAAAGGACACAGAGACACGAAGAACAGGAAACAACCUCACAGGCACUGACGUCCACAUCUGGAGAGGCUGAGCUGCCAGCAAAAACUCUUUGUCUACGAACGGUACACCUAUAGAGACAAGCCUUUUUCUCCCAAGACUGACCAGGGUGACCAUGAAGAACACAAGCCUGAACCUGCCCCAGGCCAGCUGAUAGGGUGACUGACUUACCUGGGAUACAAUGAGUACCUGCUGCAACUAAGCCACUCCAGCUCCCAGCCCUGAUCGCUUCAGCACCAUUUUCUUGGAUUAAAUGGAGUUUGACCUCAUAGUCACUGUGUAUCAGAGGUGAGGUUAGACCAGUGCAGGUAAAAUGGGAACCGGCCAGCUGCCUUGCGUUCCUCCAUCUCCUCCCAGCUUCGAAGGCUGAGGCAUUUCCUUCUCAGGUGAAAGUCCCUCUCCCUCUCCCCCUCUCCCUCCCCCUCCCACUCCC